rnacentral:rRNA from 1 species
UACGGGGGGAGCAAGCGUUGUUCGGAUUUACUGGGCGUAAAGGGCGCGUAGGCGGCCACUGCAAGUCAGUUGUGAAAUCUCCGGGCUUAACCCGGAAAGGUCAACUGAUACUGCAGGGCUAGAGUGCAGAAGGGGCAACUGGAAUUCUCGGUGUAGCGGUGUAAUGCGUAGAUAUCGAGAGGAACACCUGCGGCGAAGGCGGGUUGCUGGGCUGACACUGACGCUGAGGCGCGAAAGCCAGGGGAGCAAACGGG